UAAAUAUUAUCUAUUUUUGACACUUAUAAAUAAAUACCCUAUGAAAAAAAAUUCUGAUUUCCAGAUGUACUGAAAAAAAUGUGUUGAUCUGUGCCCAAAUUAUAUAUUUAAAUAUGUUUGUUUGUUUGUUUUUACAUUUCAUAGGUCGGUGAAAUUCAAAGUGAAUGGUUAAAACAAGUGUACAAGACUAUCCAGAGCUACAAGCCACAGUUCAUUGCCCUGCACUUCCAGGAGGUGGGAGGAAAGGACUACAUGUUAAACAUGGGCCAUGCAGAAGACUUCUUCUGGACCUUCGGUUCCAGUGAAGAAAUUUUGACAUGUCUUUGACAGGUCUUGCAUUUAUGUGGACAACCAGUUCGAAGGAGAUU
rnacentral:lncRNA from 1 species